UGGCCCCGGGUGUCAGUCAAACUCACGCGUGCUCUUCCAGUACCGGAUAAGCGCGGAGGGGCUGGCAGGGCUGCGUGCGCCUGACAGAUGGCGAGCACAUGCCCGGCCGCGCGGCGCCCUCCAUCAAUCUCUCUCGGCCUCCUUUCAGCACAUCCUGGGAGCCAGGCCCCUUCUGAGCUUCGACCGGUGAUGGUGAUUGCACCGCGCGGUCUCCGGAGAGACAAGGGUGUGCAGAGGCCCUGGGGCGGGCGGUUCGGGGCUGCUACCCGAGGCCGUUAGGUACGGCCGGGAUGUGCCUCCGCAGGCCAGUCCUGCUGCUGAGCCGCCCUGGCAGCCCCGCUGUGGGCCGGGGGCCUGGAAUCUCGCCAGCCCCUGGGACCCACCUCGGGUUUGUCAGAUCGGACCCUUCCCAUUUUCGCCAGGCUUUUCUUGUACUCUGGAUUUCAAAAUCAACCUUUUUUCACAUCUGCUUAGGAAGCUUCGAGCAUGUUGGAAAGGGCAGCCCAUGCAGUGUGGCAGGAUUCGGGGAGACAGAGGUGCAUUUCUGUGAGCCCUGCGGGCACCGGGGCCAGGGACGCCGGGGCUCUGCCGCAGGGCGGGUGUGUGCGUGUCGGGGAGUGUCCUGCUGCUCCCGCUCCCUGCGGCUGCCCGGAGAGCCCCGCGCCUGGUGGCUCCGGGCACCUGGCUGCGGCGCGGGCCUCCCUAGGCCUCUCUCCCACCACACAGCCAGCGGCCUUCUCCGAGCCUCCAUUUGGGUAUCUCAUGAGCAUCUCAACUUUCCCAUGUCCAGAACCAAACUCAUGAGCUCAGAAGCUCAUCUUCCCAGCAGUUUCCAGAAUGUCAGUGGAGGUUGCCACCCUCUCCCUCUGCUUAAGGCAGAAACCUGGAUGUCGAUCUUGGUUUCUUCCUCUCUCCUCAAUCUGUCCUGCCCCUCACACAUUUGCUACACCAGCAGAUCCUUUCCUAUCUGCCUCCCACAGAUGUCUAGAGUGUGUGGGCUCCCCCAUCUUCCUGGUCACCAGUGGGAUGCAAG
rnacentral:lncRNA from 1 species